CCCUAGUAUAUAAAUAUAUAUAGGAAAAUUAGUAGAGGUUCUGAAAAUUUAUAAUUUUGGCGGUUAAUUAUAUUAUUAGAGGAGCUUGUUGAAGUUAAGAAUCAACUCUUUAUAUUUAAAUAUUAAAAAGUUUAUACAUCUCUGUUAUUAGAUAAGGAAUCAAUUUAAAAUAUUUUUUUUAUUUCAGGUCAAGAUGUAGCAUUUAAUGUAUUAAAAUUAGCUACAGUUAUAUAAUUUUUGAAUAAGUUAAAAUUUGAAGGAGUUUGUUUUCAAUUGAAUUUAGUUGUAAUAUUUAAUUAGAAUGUUAUUAUGAUUUUGUAUAAUUGAUGUA
rnacentral:rRNA from 1 species